AAGGGCACCACAAGAACGCGUGGAGCAUGUGGCUUAAUUUGACUCAACGCGGGAAAUCUUACCGGGUCCGGACACACUGAGGAUUGACAGGCAAUCUUGCGAGUGCGCUGAGCUUUAGUUUUACCAGCUAUUGCCGAGCUGCUCGCAUCUAAAUACGCUAGUCCUUUCAUGAUUAUGUGAUAGGUGGUGCAUGGCCGUUCUUAGUUCGUGGAGUGAUCUGUCUGCUUAAUUGCGUUUCGCACGGGACUUGAUAAUCAAGUGUGCUAUUUCUCUUGUGCCACCAACGAGCACGACUCGGUGCGCUUAUGACUGCGAGUGUUUACCCCGGCUUUAGUGUAUCUGCCUGCGAAGCGCCCUCACGGCGUGGAGCUGGGCGGGACGCGGUUGCUUGCUAUCUUGCGCGGUCUCAGAGCCUUGUCCCGCUUUCGGAGGCGCGUUUGGGGAGGUAUGUGCACAUUAGGUCCUGAAAGCAACGAACGUGACCGCAUCCUCUUUGUUGCCUUUUACCUAAACCAGCUUCGUGUCCGCAAUGUCUUAGCGCGGUGAGCUUCGGCUCUGCCGUCUGCGGGGCUGCGUGGACUCUUAGUGCGUUUUAACAAAAGAGGCUUAAUUUCUCCUGUACCAGCAGGAGGGAAUAAAACUAGAGGGACCGCUGCGACUUUUUUAAACCAGAGGAAGGUUGCGGCAAUAACAGGUCUGUGAUGCCCUUAGAUGUUCCGGGCUGCACACGUGCUACAAUGGUUAUUGCAAUGAGCAUCUAUUUUCAAUUACGUCGUUAAUCAAUGGACUAUUGCGGGAAGCGCGCUUGCGUGUGGAACGCAGGACCUCCGUAGAUUCGGCUCAGCCUGCUUCGAAAGUUAGCAGGUAAUCAAUUGGAAGUAAUGAUUUCCCCAAUUUCAGAAUUUCUUUUAAUUUUGAUUUUACGAGCACACAAUAUGUUGCUCCCUUCCAGGCGUUUUACCGAUCUUACCGUGUAGCUCGCCUGCUGUAGGGAUGUUUUGUUAUUUAUAACGAAUUUACAGCAUGUGCUUUUUGUCAAUUCGUGGUGGGGACAGACCAUUGUUAAUUGUUGGUCUCGGUCUUAACUAGGAAUGCCUUGUACGGGUCUUUGGUUCAACAAACCACCCGGAAUACGUCCCUGCCCUUUGUACACACCGCCCGUC
rnacentral:rRNA from 1 species